UACGAAGGGGGCUAGCGUUGCUCGGAAUUACUGGGCGUAAAGGGCGCGUAGGCGGUGUGUCAAGUCAGGCGUGAAAGCCCCGGGCUCAACCUGGGAACCGCGCUUGAGACUGGCACGCUCGAGUUCGGGAGAGGAUGGUGGAAUUCCCAGUGUAGAGGUGAAAAUUCGUAGAUAUUGGGAAGAACACCGAUGGCGAAGGCAGCCAUCUGGACCGACACUGACGCUGAGGCGCGAAAGCGUGGGGAGCAAACAGGG
rnacentral:rRNA from 1 species